AAGACGACAGAUCUACUCCCUAGUCUAAAGAGGGAGUAUAAUCAGCUGGAUCGGUUAGUGGUGAGAGAGAUACAAAUACUUUCUAGUUUGAAGAAGGAUAAGAAUACUCUAAGUCUGAUGAGGGGAAGAAGGAUACUGAUGUGUAUCUACUUUAGGUGCUAAGAUAUAUGAUUCAAAAUAAAUCGCUACAUUGCUUUUAGCCUAGAAAAUAGAAGGUAU
rnacentral:lncRNA from 1 species